rnacentral:lncRNA from 1 species
AAUCCAAAGGGGGAGUAUGAACACAAGAUUCUAUCUCAGUAAUACCUAGGGUAGAAGAAAAUAUCUAGGGCACAGCUUUGUGGCACAGAGGGUUAAGAUGCCACAUGAGCGCCAGUUCCUGUCUCAGAUGCUCUAUUUCCAGCCCAGCUCCCUGCUAAUGUGCCUGUGAAAGUAGCAAAAGAUGGCCUAAGUGCUUGGGCCCCUGCACCCAUGUGGGACAUCUCAAAGAAGCUCCUGACUCUUGGUUUUGACCUUGCCUAUAUGUGACUGUUGUGGCCAUCUGGGAAGUAAUCAGUAGAAGGAAAAUCUCUCUCUCUCUGACUCUGCUUUCAAGCAAAUUUGCUUUUUAAAAAACCUUUUAAAAAUUUUAAGUACUAGGUAUUCACAUUCCUGGAUCCAUUUAAUAGAUGAGAAACAGGGGUAAAAAUUGAUUCUCUUAAGAGACAAAGUUGGCUUUGAAAACAGGUAGCCUGAAUGAUGGCCCCGUACUUCCAACCUCUGCUCUGUGACCCCACUUAGUUUCCAAACUCGCAGGACAAGCCCUCUAACACACUUCCUGUCUCUACAGGCUGAGUGCUCAAUGGAGUCUCAGCCAUUUCGGUCCUGGGCAGUAUCCGGGUGCUGUCACCCCAGGCCUAGCUUCAUCGGCUCCGUUAGAGAGGCGCUUCCAACUCCGGGCUCCACGUGAGAAUUCGACCACAAACAGCAACAGGCAGGCUCCGCUUGCCUCCUCUUCACACAGGCAGGUUGAAACCGCCCCUUCUUCUGAGAGACAAGAAGAAUUUGGCAUUAUGUUACCCAUCAUCUGCUGCUCAUUUCUCACCUCAGAGCACGGUCUUCACAAUAUCUCAUGAUACUUCUCAAAAUAAGUGUUUCAAUCUCUUGGACACUCUAUUUGCUGAUUUAUGCAAACAUCAAGUGACCAAGUUACAAGGAUUGAACUUCAGGGUUACCUAAUGUAUCAAGUUAUGGAAAAUUAUGUGAAAGAACUCUGCAGCUUUAGUUCUGCCAGUUAUGUGAAGCACGAGCUCAUUUGCUGUGGCAAUGGCCGGGUUAUCUUUCUUUGUACAACGGAGGAGGCUGCAGCUCAACACAAGAGGAAACAGCUGAUUCUGGAGCCAUGGCCAAAACCAUCAAGUGCUCAGGGGAAACCUGUGGUCUAGUCACAAUCACAGUUUUAAAAUAAAUUCUUCCUAGAAUGUUUUGCUUAAAACA